rnacentral:snRNA from 1 species
UCACUUACCUGGAUGGGGUCAAUGAGCGAUCAAGAAGGCCCAUGGCCUAGGUUGGUGACACUUUGGAGGGGCGCCUGCCUAAGGUCGGCCCAAAUGGUCGAACCUACGUCAUAAUUUAUGCGGCUAAAAAAAAAGUCAUUGUUUCAU